rnacentral:rRNA from 1 species
GACAGCCCCGUACACAAAAAUGCACAUGCUGUGAGCUCGAUGAGUAGGGCGGGACACGUGGUAUCCUGUCUGAAUAUGGGGGGACCAUCCUCCAAGGCUAAAUACUCCUGACUGACCGAUAGUGAACCAGUACCGUGAGGGAAAGGCGAAAAGAACCCCGGCGAGGGGAGUGAAAAAGAACCUGAAACCGUGUACGUACAAGCAGUGGGAGCACGCUUAGGCGUGUGACUGCGUACCUUUUGUAUAAUGGGUCAGCGACUUAUAUUCUGUAGCAAGGUUAACCGAAUAGGGGAGCCGAAGGGAAACCGAGUCUUAACUGGGCGUUAAGUUGCAGGGUAUAGACCCGAAACCCGGUGAUCUAGCCAUGGGCAGGUUGAAGGUUGGGUAACACUAACUGGAGGACCGAACCGACUAAUGUUGAAAAAUUAGCGGAUGACUUGUGGCUGGGGGUGAAAGGCCAAUCAAACCGGGAGAUAGCUGGUUCUCCCCGAAAGCUAUUUAGGUAGCGCCUCGUGAAUUCAUCUCCGGGGGUAGAGCACUGUUUCGGCAAGGGGGUCAUCCCGACUUACCAACCCGAUGCAAACUGCGAAUACCGGAGAAUGUUAUCACGGGAGACACACGGCGGGUGCUAACGUCCGUCGUGAAGAGGGAAACAACCCAGACCGCCAGCUAAGGUCCCAAAGUCAUGGUUAAGUGGGAAACGAUGUGGGAAGGCCCAGACAGCCAGGAUGUUGGCUUAGAAGCAGCCAUCAUUUAAAGAAAGCGUAAUAGCUCACUGGUCGAGUCGGCCUGCGCGGAAGAUGUAACGGGGCUAAACCAUGCACCGAAGCUGCGGCAGCGACGCUUAUGCGUUGUUGGGUAGGGGAGCGUUCUGUAAGCCUGUGAAGGUGUACUGUGAGGUAUGCUGGAGGUAUCAGAAGUGCGAAUGCUGACAUAAGUAACGAUAAAGCGGGUGAAAAGCCCGCUCGCCGGAAGACCAAGGGUUCCUGUCCAACGUUAAUCGGGGCAGGGUGAGUCGACCCCUAAGGCGAGGCCGAAAGGCGUAGUCGAUGGGAAACAGGUUAAUAUUCCUGUACUUGGUGUUACUGCGAAGGGGGGACGGAGAAGGCUAUGUUGGCCGGGCGACGGUUGUCCCGGUUUAAGCGUGUAGGCUGGUUUUCCAGGCAAAUCCGGAAAAUCAAGGCUGAGGCGUGAUGACGAGGCACUACGGUGCUGAAGCAACAAAUGCCCUGCUUCCAGGAAAAGCCUCUAAGCAUCAGGUAACAUCAAAUCGUACCCCAAACCGACACAGGUGGUCAGGUAGAGAAUACCAAGGCGCUUGAGAGAACUCGGGUGAAGGAACUAGGCAAAAUGGUGCCGUAACUUCGGGAGAAGGCACGCUGAUAUGUAGGUGAAGUCCCUCGCGGAUGGAGCUGAAAUCAGUCGAAGAUACCAGCUGGCUGCAACUGUUUAUUAAAAACACAGCACUGUGCAAACACGAAAGUGGACGUAUACGGUGUGACGCCUGCCCGGUGCCGGAAGGUUAAUUGAUGGGGUUAGCGCAAGCGAAGCUCUUGAUCGAAGCCCCGGUAAACGGCGGCCGUAACUAUAACGGUCCUAAGGUAGCGAAAUUCCUUGUCGGGUAAGUUCCGACCUGCACGAAUGGCGUAAUGAUGGCCAGGCUGUCUCCACCCGAGACUCAGUGAAAUUGAACUCGCUGUGAAGAUGCAGUGUACCCGCGGCAAGACGGAAAGACCCCGUGAACCUUUACUAUAGCUUGACACUGAACAUUGAGCCUUGAUGUGUAGGAUAGGUGGGAGGCUUUGAAGUGUGGACGCCAGUCUGCAUGGAGCCGACCUUGAAAUACCACCCUUUAAUGUUUGAUGUUCUAACGUGGACCCGUAAUCCGGGUUGCGGACAGUGUCUGGUGGGUAGUUUGACUGGGGCGGUCUCCUCCUAAAGAGUAACGGAGGAGCACGAAGGUUGGCUAAUCCUGGUCGGACAUCAGGAGGUUAGUGCAAUGGCAUAAGCCAGCUUGACUGCGAGCGUGACGGCGCGAGCAGGUGCGAAAGCAGGUCAUAGUGAUCCGGUGGUUCUGAAUGGAAGGGCCAUCGCUCAACGGAUAAAAGGUACUCCGGGGAUAACAGGCUGAUACCGCCCAAGAGUUCAUAUCGACGGCGGUGUUUGGCACCUCGAUGUCGGCUCAUCACAUCCUGGGGCUGAAGUAGGUCCCAAGGGUAUGGCUGUUCGCCAUUUAAAGUGGUACGCGAGCUGGGUUUAGAACGUCGUGAGACAGUUCGGUCCCUA